rnacentral:rRNA from 1 species
AUUGAACGCUGGCGGCAGGCCUAACACAUGCAAGUCGAACGGUAACGGGAAACAGCUUGCUGUUUCGCUGACGAGUGGCGGACGGGUGAGUAAUGUCUGGGAAACUGCCUGAUGGAGGGGGAUAACUACUGGAAACGGUAGCUAAUACCGCAUAACGUCGCAAGACCAAAGAGGGGGACCUUCGGGCCUCUUGCCAUCGGAUGUGCCCAGAUGGGAUUAGCUAGUAGGUGGGGUAACGGCUCACCUAGGCGACGAUCCCUAGCUGGUCUGAGAGGAUGACCAGCCACACUGGAACUGAGACACGGUCCAGACUCCUACGGGAGGCAGCAGUGGGGAAUAUUGCACAAUGGGCGCAAGCCUGAUGCAGCCAUGCCGCGUGUAUGAAGAAGGCCUUCGGGUUGUAAAGUACUUUCAGCGGGGAGGAAGGGAGUAAAGUUAAUACCUUUACUCAUUGACGUUACCCGCAGAAGAAGCACCGGCUAACUCCGUG